rfam:Phytophthora infestans T30-4 supercont1.152 genomic scaffold, whole genome shotgun sequence.
UCCCAAAUAGUCUAGGCGGUUAGGAUACGUGGCUUUCACCCACGCGACCCGGGUUCGAGUCCCGGUUUUGGAU